AAUGAACGCUGGCGGCGUGCCUAACACAUGCAAGUCGAACGAGAAAGCCCGCAAGGGUGAGUACAGUGGCGCACGGGUGAGUAAUACAUAGGAAUCUGCCUCUGAGUGAAGAAUACCCUAGAGAAAUUUAGGUUAAUACUGCGUGAGCCCAGAAAUGGGGAAAGGUGGCCUCAAGCUACCGCUGAGAGAUGAGCCUAUGGCCUAUUAGCUAGUUGGUAGGGUAAAAGCCUACCAAGGCGAGGAUGGGUAGCUGGUCUGAGAGGAUGAUCAGCCACAUUGGGACUGAGACACGGCCCAAACUCCUACGGGAGGCAGCAGUGGGAAAUCUUGCGCAAUGGGCGAAAGCCUGACGCAGCCAUGCCGCGUGAAUGAUGAAGGUCUUAGGAUUGUAAAAUUCUUUCACCGGGGACGAUAAUGACGGUACCCGGAGAAGAAGCCCCGGCUAACUUCGUGCCAGCCGCCGCAGUAA
rnacentral:rRNA from 1 species